CGGGUGAGUAACGCGUAAACAACCUGCCCUUCGGAUGGGGACAACAGCUGGAAACGGCUGCUAAUACCGAAUACGUUCUUUUCAUCGCAUGGUGAGAAGAAGAAAGGACGGCCUCUACACAAAGCGGUCGCCGAAGGAGGGGUUUGCGUCUGAUUAGCUAGUUGGAGGGGUAACGGCCCAACAAGGCGACGAUCAGUAGCCGGUCUGAGAGGAUGAACGGCCACAUUGGGACUGAGACACGGCCCAGACUCCUACGGGAGGCAGCAGAG
rnacentral:rRNA from 1 species